rnacentral:ncRNA from 2 species
CAUAUAGUUAAGAAAACAGGUGUCUAAAAGCGAUUGCUUAAAGGACUUAAUAGAGAAGCAGGUGUAAGACCUGCGCUGUCCCGCAACUGUAACGGGGAGCAAAGCCGCAUUUGUCCAUUGGGGAAACCUGAGAAGGCGUGGCCGAGCGAUGAUCCGAAGCCAGGAGAACUGCCUGUUUUAACAUCCGUAA